rnacentral:lncRNA from 1 species
CUCCCCUCUCUCUCCCGCGCGUGGCGCCCGCUUCGCUCCACCCGGCGCCGGCCACGUGGCGACCGUAUGCCGGCGUUGGACGCGUGUUGGGUAUUUUAAACGCAAACAGAAAAAUCCGCAAGCGCACGGAUACCGAUGUAGCCUUCACCCGGGAGUAUUCCAGAGUAUCGAUUUUCCACAGAGAACGUGAGUGUACUAAUUAAGAUCCA